rnacentral:lncRNA from 1 species
GAUGAUUUGGAAACAAGAAAUCUUGAUUGAACCUUAGGAAUAAAUUAGGAUACGAAUAACAUGUCAUUAGGGGUUAUUAUUGUUUUGGAUGCUGGUGCGUACGUCCUACCGGUGGCUGAGUUAUCCUGCAUGUGUUGCGGAUACUCAUCUGCUUGUGUGAGCAGCACCGUGUGGCUUCGUCAUGACCAUCAGCUUGUGUGAG